CAGUUUAACAGCACCCAACUGACACUAGUUGCAGCCUACUUUCCAAAUGAGAACCCCAGAAACUUCCUGCAAUCACUCCUGGGUAAGGUGUUCUCCAGAGGGACCACUGACCUAAGCAGAGAUAAUUAUAUCAGGGUCGGGAAUGACCGUAAGCAAAUCCUAGCAAAAUGGGGCCCCCUUUUCCUUACAUGGACUGAAAGGAUAGUGGCAAUUAAGAUGUGAAUACUCCCAAGAUUACAGUACGUCUUCCAAACCCUACCACUGUUUAUGCCACAGUCCUACUUCAAAAUUGUCCAAAGAGAUAUAACCAAACUUAUUUUGGCGGGAGGGAGACCCAGCAUAUCCAUGAAACUCCUGAGAACAUCAAUUAGGGCAGGUGGCCUUGCAGUCCCGGAUGUUCGCACCUACGACUACGCAUCCAUACUAGCAUCAGCAAUACCACACUUUGUAGAUCAAUCUCCCCCCAAAGAGUUAAAAUGCUAUGGCUGCCUAAACCCCUCAAACCCCCCUCUACAUAUGACUCCAGCCCAGGUAUCCUUGCUGAUACAAGUACAGUGGGACCUUGGUUUACAUAUUUAAUGCGUUCUCCGGGACGUUUCUUAUUGCGAAACAUUUGUAAACUGAAACGCGG